UGAGGGAUAUUGGUCAAUGGGCGCAAGCCUGAACCAGCGACGCCGCGUGGGUGAAGAAGGUCUUCGGAUCGUAAAGCCCUUUUCCCACUGAAGAGGAAGGACGGUAGGUGGGGAAGAAGUCUCGGCUAACUACGUGCCAGCAGCCGCGGUAAAACGUAGGAGACAAGCGUUAUCCGGAGUUACUGGGCGUAAAGGGCGUGCAGGUGGCGUCUUAAGUCUGUUGUGAAAGCGCCUGGCUUAACCGGGCGAGGCCAAUGGAGACUGAGAGGCUGGAGGACGGCGGAGGGGUGUGGAAUUCCGGGUGUAGUGGUGAAAUGCGUAGAGAUCCGGAGGAACACCAGAGGCGAAGGCGGCACUCUAAGCCGUACCUGACACUGAGACGCGACAGCACG
rnacentral:rRNA from 1 species